rnacentral:tRNA from 1 species
CAGGGAGACAACAAAAUGUUUAAUAUUAUUAUUUUGUCACCUUAGGUCGAUCGGUAUCUCACGUUCUUAAUUUUUUAAGAAUUUCAUUUCCUAAGUUUUUCUAGGUCACACCCAUUAUUUUUCCUGGGCCAUUAGCUCAGGUGGUUAGAGCGCACCCCUGAUAAGGGUGAGGUCCCUGGUUCAAGUCCAGGAUGGCCCAUAUCUCUAUGUUGGGGGUAUAGCUCAGUUGGUAGAGCGCCUGCUUUGCAAGCAGGAUGUCAGCGGUUCGAGUCCGCUUACCUCCACUGAUUACCACCUCUUCCAUAACCGGUAGAAAGGAAAAGUUUUGAGUUGUGAUCAUUUUUCUGAACGAAUCUAGCUUCCUAAUGAAAUCAUUAAGAUGCUGGACUCAUUGAAUUAAUUUCAUUGUUUUCAGAGAACCUUGACAACUGCAUAGAUUAUUUUUAAAGACAAUAAGCAUCUUUAAUGAUGCAAAUUUAUUAUUUGUGCGAAUGCAUUAAUAACAAUUCUAUUAAGCUGAUGCUUCAAUUUUUGAAGUUAUU